rnacentral:rRNA from 1 species
GACGGGGGGGGCAAGUGUUCUUCGGAAUGACUGGGCGUAAAGGGCACGUAGGCGGUGAAGCGGGUUGGAAGUGAAAGUCGCCAAAAAGUGGCGGAAUGCUCUCGAAACCAAUUCACGUAAGUGAGACAGAGGAGAGUGGAAUUUCGUGUGUAGGGGUGAAAUCCGUAAAUAUACGAAGGAACGCCAAAAGCGAAGGCAGCUCUCUGGGUCCCUACCGACGCUGGGGUGCGAAGGCAUGGGGAGCGAACAGG